GACGGGAUAGCUCAGAGGGUAGAGCAACAGGAAAUUGCGGGUUCGAGUCCCGCUCACGCUG
rfam:Sphingobacteriales bacterium 40-81 SCNpilot_expt_1000_bf_scaffold_184, whole genome shotgun sequence.